CCUACGGGAGGCAGCAGUGGGGAAUAUUGCGCAAUGGGCGAAAGCCUGACGCAGCGACGCCGCGUGUGGGAUGAAGGUCUUCGGAUCGUAAACCACUGUCGGGAGGGACGAAGUUCUGACGGUACCUCCAAAGGAAGCACCGGCUAACUCCGUGCCAGCAGCCGCGGUAAUACGGAGGGUGCAAGCGUUGUUCGGAAUUACUGGGCGUAAAGCGCGUGUAGGCGGCCUUGCAAGCCAGACGUGAAAGCCCUCGGCUUAACCGGGGAAGUGCGUCUGGAACUGCUCGGCUCGAGUACGGGAGAGGGAGGCGGAAUUCCCAGUGUAGAGGUGAAAUUCGUAGAUAUUGGGAGGAACACCGGUGGCGAAAGCGGCCUCCUGGACCGAUACUGACGCUGAGACGCGAAAGCGUGGGGAGCAAACAGGAUUAGAUACCCUGGUAGUCCACGCGGUAAACGAUGGGCACUAGGUGUGGGGGGUAUCCACUCCUCCCGUGCCGCAGCUAACGCACUAAGUGCCCCGCCUGGGGAGUACGGCCGCAAGGUUAAAACUCAAAGGAAUUGACGG
rnacentral:rRNA from 1 species